rnacentral:tRNA from 1 species
GCCUCUGUAGCUCAAUUGGAAGAGCAUCCGCCUUGUAAGCAGAGAGUUACGGGUUCGAGUCCCGUCAGAGGCU